rnacentral:rRNA from 1 species
UGGGGAAUAUUGGACAAUGGGGGCAACCCUGAUCCAGCAACGCCGCGUGAAUGAAGAAGGCCUUCGGGUUGUAAAGUUCUUUUAUUGCAGAGCAAAGUCAAGUUGUGAAUAGCGACUGGAGCUGAGAGUAUGCGAAGAAUAAGCACCGGCUAACUACGUGCCAGCAGCCGCGGUAAUACGUAGGGUGCGAGCGUUAAUCGGAAUUACUGGGCGUAAAGGGUGCGCAGGCGGAUAUGUAAGUUAGGAGUGAAAAGCCCGAGCUCAACUUGGGUAGUGCUUUUAAGACUGCGUAUCUAGAGUCUGUCAGAGGGGGGUGGAAUUCCUGGUGUAGCAGUGAAAUGCGUAGAUAUCAGGAGGAACAUCGAUGGCGAAGGCAGCCCCCUGGGAUAAGACUGACGCUCAUGCACGAAAGCGUGGGUGGCAAACAGG